rnacentral:rRNA from 1 species
UCCUCGCAGCCGACACAGAAAAAUAAAAGAAAACUAUCCUUCCGAGCGCCGCACGAGGCGAGAAGCUCAGAGCUAUGGCGAUGGCGGAGGCGGGAGGCGACGGAUUCGAUUUCCCAUCAGAUCCAGUUGACAGAAUUUGACAGCGGUUCCAAAGGGACUCCCCUGUCGAAUUCAGAGCAUUCAGAAGGCAAAGAUGAUGCACAAGCCCCUGGCUGCACCAACAGGUUUCGCCUGCUGGACCUCACCGCCAGUAAAUCCUUGCUGGACAGUGAAGCAAGUCGAACUUUGGUAUGCACGGCAGCUGAAUCCAGCAUUGGUGAUGUGGGCGAUGCAGCGGUGACAUUACAAGUAGAUGUCAACAACACUUCCAAUGGGGUGGCCCUGUCACUGCCGAACUCGGAACAUUCGACAGGCAAAGAAGAUCCUCAAGCACCUGGCUGGACCAAGAGAGUACGUGUCAGGCAUGCACCUGUUGAACGUCCACCGUGUGCUGGCAGAAUCAGUGCCCUAGAAAAAACAUUGAGAAGAUAUGCAGAGAAAAAGACUGGCACAGUCGUAGUUCCAGCAAUAGGU